AUAUUACCGAAGCUGUGGAUUGUCCUUUGGACAAUGGUAGGAGAGCGUUCUAAGGGCGUUGAAGCAUGAUCGUAAGGACAUGUGGAGCGCUUAGAAGUGAGAAUGCCGGUGUGAGUAGCGAAAGACGGGUGAGAAUCCCGUCCACCGAUUGACUAAGGUUUCCAGAGGAAGGCUCGUCCGCUCUGGGUUAGUCGGGUCCUAAGCUGAGGCCGACAGGCGUAGGCGAUGGAUAACAGGUUGAUAUUCCUGUACCACCUAUAAUCGUUUUAAUCGAUGGGGGGACGCAGUAGGAUAGGCGAAGCGUGCGAUUGGAUUGCACGUCUAAGCAGUAAGGCUGAGUAUUAGGCAAAUCCGGUACUCGUUAAGGCUGAGCUGUGAUGGGGAGAAGACAUUGUGUCUUCGAGUCGUUGAUUUCACACUGCCGAGAAAAGCCUCUAGAUAGAAAAUAGGUGCCCGUACCGCAAACCGACACAGGUAGUCAAGAUGAGAAUUCUAAGGUGAGCGAGCGAACUCUCGUUAAGGAACUCGGCAAAAUGACCCCGUAACUUCGGGAGAAGGGGUGCUCUUUAGGGUUAACGCCCAGAAGAGCCGCAGUGAAUAGGCCCAAGCGACUGUUUAUCAAAAACACAGGUCUCUGCUAAACCGUAAGGUGAUGUAUAGGGGCUGACGCCUGCCCGGUGCUGGAAGGUUAAGAGGAGUGGUUAGCUUCUGCGAAGCUACGAAUCGAAGCCCCAGUAAACGGCGGCCGUAACUAUAACGGUCCUAAGGUAGCGAAAUUCCUUGUCGGGUAAGUUCCGACCCGCACGAAAGGCGUAACGAUUUGGGCACUGUCUCAACGAGAGACUCGGUGAAAUCAUAGUACCUGUGAAGAUGCAGGUUACCCGCGACAGGACGGAAAGACCCCGUGGAGCUUUACUGUAGCCUGAUAUUGAAAUUCGGCACAGCUUGUACAGGAUAGGUAGGAGCCUUUGAAACGUGAGCGCUAGCUUACGUGGAGGCGCUGGUGGGAUACUACCCUAGCUGUGUUGGCUUUCUAACCCGCACCACUUAUCGUGGUGGGAGACAGUGUCAGGCGGGCAGUUUGACU
rnacentral:rRNA from 1 species